ACAACAUUUUCAUCAUUCACACAAUUCAAUCAAAUUUCAUGGGUUUAAAAUAAGAUUUACAUCUUUCCCACAAUUCAAUCAAAUUUCAUGGGGUUAAUACCAACAUUUUUAUGAUUAACAAUAUUCAAUCAGAUUGCAUGGGUUUAACAACAUUGUUUUCAUCAUUUCCACAAUUUAAUCAAAUUUCAUGGGUUUAACAAUAAUAUUUUAAUUAUUCACACAAUUCAAUCAGAUUUCAUGGGUUAACCAACAACAUUUUCAUCAUCCAAACAAUUCAAUCAAAUUUCACGGGUUUAAAACAUGAUUUACAUCAUUCCCGCAAUUCAAUUAAAUUUCAUGUGUUUAACACCAACAUUUUUAUGGUUAACAAUAUUCAAUCUAAUUUCAUGUGUUUAACAACAAUAUUUUCAUCAUUACCAUAAUUUAAUCAAAUUUCAUGGGUUUAAAAAUAAUAUUUUAAUUAUUCACACAAUUUAAUCAAAUUUCAUGGGUUUAAUAACAAUAUUUUAAUC
rnacentral:lncRNA from 1 species